UCCGUAGGUGAACCUGCGGAGGGAUCAUUACAAGAACGCCCGGGCUUCGGCCUGGUUAUUCAUAACCCUUUGUUGUCCGACUCUGUUGCCUCCGGGGCGACCCUGCCUUCGGGCGGGGGCUCCGGGUGGACACUUCAAACUCUUGCGUAACUUUGCAGUCUGAGUAAACUUAAUUAAUAAAUUAAAACUUUUAACAACGGAUCUCUUGGUUCUGGCAUCGAUGAAGAACGCAGCGAAAUGCGAUAAGUAAUGUGAAUUGCAGAAUUCAGUGAAUCAUCGAAUCUUUGAACGCACAUUGCGCCCCCUGGUAUUCCGGGGGGCAUGCCUGUUCGAGCGUCAUUUCACCACUCAAGCCUCGCUUGGUAUUGGGCAUCGCGGUCCGCCGCGUGCCUCAAAUCGACCGGCUGGGUCUUCUGUCCCCUAAGCGUUGUGGAAACUAUUCGCUAAAGGGUGUUCGGGAGGCUACGCCGUAAAACAACCCCAUUUCUAAGGUUGACCUCGGAUCAGGUAGGGAUACCCGCUGAACUUAAGCAUAUCAAUAAGCGGAGGA
rnacentral:rRNA from 1 species